rnacentral:rRNA from 1 species
GACGAACGCUGGCGGCGUGCCUAAUACAUGCAAGUUGAGCGAUGAAGAUUGGUGCUUGCACCAAUUUGAAGAGCAGCGAACGGGUGAGUAACGCGUGGGGAAUCUGCCUUUGAGCGGGGGACAACAUUUGGAAACGAAUGCUAAUACCGCAUAACAACUUUAAACAUAAGUUUUAAGUUUGAAAGAUGCAAUUGCAUCACUCAAAGAUGAUCCCGCGUUGUAUUAGCUAGUUGGUGAGGUAAAGGCUCACCAAGGCGAUGAUACAUAGCCGACCUGAGAGGGUGAUCGGCCACAUUGGGACUGAGACACGGCCCAAACUCCUACGGGAGGCAGCAGUAGGGAAUCUUCGGCAAUAGACGAAAGUCUGACCGAGCAACGCCGCGUGAGGGAAGAAGGUUUUCGGAUCGUAAAACUCUGUUGGUAGAGAAGAACGUUGGUGAGAGUGGAAAGCUCAUCAAGUGACGGUAACUACCCAGAAAGGGACGGCUAACUACGUG